GGAGAGAUGGCCGAGCGGCCGAAGGCGCUUGCCUGCUAAGCAAGUGUAGGGGUAACUCUACCGAGGGUUCGAAUCCCUCUCUCUCCGCCA
rnacentral:tRNA from 1 species